CCAAGGAAAAAGGCGAAUAUCGAGCUCGCAGGCCACUGGUUCAACUUUCCGCAAGAUUCAAAGGCUUCCAAAACAAUGAGUUGUGAACUGUGAGCGGAAGGCGACAAUCUGAGUGUAGCUCUGCAACUGAAGGGUAAGACUAGAUUCUGGAGAAUAGUAAGGAAGGAGGCGGAGUGGGUGCAGCCGACGAAGCAACCAGGACGAGACCACGGUUAGCGCUCGUAUAAGGGCACAAAAGGGGUCAACGGGAUGGAGUUGGGCUGGUCGGGUUGUACCGAGAUGUAGGUAGGGGUAAAUAGUGGGACCAUGUGCGUGGGUCAUCGCUGGCUCUGCUAAUGGAGAAAUAGGUGUCAAGGAGACGACAAGACUCCCAUCGCCUGACGAAUACCCUAAACCAGUUCUUUGAGAUCCUUGUAAACUGGAAAUUGCACUAAAGACAAGCAAGGCAACAGAGCGAUCAGAGAACAACGACAAGGAGAAAUGGCAACCAAGAAGCGCGGGGUCAGAAGCUUCAUGAGCCCAACAACCCGUGAAGUGAUGGAUGGCUGCCCAAUAGCACUCUCCUUUUGGAGAACUAGCCGGGACCCAAUUGGGAACGAGCCAAGAUCAGUGCAGCAUGGGGCUGGAACCAUCAAAGAGUUGUCGCUGCAUUUUAGGGGGUUUGGGGACGGAAUCAACAAUUUGAAGAGGACCCGAUAGAAGCUGGGUAGGAGAAGAAGAAGAAGGUGCAGCUGGACGAGAUGGGAAAGUGAGGGAGAGUUGCUGUCGGAGGUUUGAAAUCGCAGCCAUUGUGGACUCAAGGCCUUAUCUCAGUCUAAUAAGCAGAGGAGAAAGACGGAUGCCCCGUCCUAGCUUUGAAUCAAUAUAACUAGACUGGGGAGGACUCCAUCCAUUGGGAUAAACGGUCAUAUAGCGACGAUGCUUGAAAUAAAUGGUCUUACAUCGUCUGCUAGU